UGGUUUUUCCAUGUUUUGUGUGGCGUCCUCACGUAACAAAAUAUCCUCAUAGUUUUGAUUUCAUAUUAACAAAAUACUUUUGAAUUUUUGAUGUAUUGCUUAGUGUGUGCUGAUGUUGAUCUGUUACACAGUUGACGUGGUUUAAUUAAGGCCAUAAUUAAUCAUUAGACAUUGAUUGAGAUUUUUUGUAUUUUCUAUAAUGCUUAUAAAACACUAUAAAUAGAUGUCAUUGUUCAUCAUUCUAGUUCAUCCAUUAACAAAAACAUUUCUCUUCAAUCAUAUUAUCUUGCAAUCUUUCUUCCUAAUUAAGCGUAAUCAGCCUUCUUCAAGAACGAAAAAUGGCCUCAAAAACCUGUGGAUGUGGUGACAACUGUAGCUGUGGCGAUGACUGCAACUGCAACAGGAUGACUUCGAGGACCGAGUGUGGAUGUGGAGAUGACUGCAGUUGUGACCCAUGCACUUGUGAUUAAUUAUGAAAACAUGAAGUUGUAGUUGAUUUUGGCACUCCAAUUGUGAGAACACAGUUUUCUUACUUUACUUAUAAAAAGGAAUGUCAGAAUCAAUUACCGCAGUUGUGUUGUUAUGGAUUGUUAAUUACUUGGUUUAUUUUUUUCCCAAAAUGUAAGUGUGUUAUUUAAUUAUGUCUUGUGGAUUGAAUAACUAGGCUAUGACAUCUUCGAACGUGGUGUCCUGUAUGUUUCAUGGUCUAGUGAUCGAUUGUUGUGUCUUUAUAUGCAAAACUAUUGUGCAAAGUAUAUUCUGAAUUGGAAAAAAAGUUACCAAAA